GUACCGAUGAAGAGUCCCAAACUGGGACGAAACAGCUGUCCAGUAC
rfam:Trichobilharzia regenti genome assembly, scaffold: TRE_scaffold0022501